rnacentral:rRNA from 1 species
AUCCUGGCUCAGGAUGAACGCUAGCGGCAGGCCUAACACAUGCAAGUCGAGGGGUAACGAUUCCAAGCAAUUGGAAGGCGACGACCGGCGCACGGGUGAGUAUCGCGUUUGUAACCUUCCUCUGACUGGAGCAUAGCCCGAAGAAAUUCGGAUUAAUACUCCAUAAUACUAUAGUCUGGCAUCAUUUUAUAGUUAAAGCUUCGGCGGUCAGAGAUGGGCAUGCGUGACAUUAGCUAGUUGGUGAGGUAACGGCUCACCAAGGCUGCGAUGUCUAGGGGGUCUGAGAGGAUGGUCCCCCACACUGGUACUGAGACACGGACCAGACUCCUACGGGAGGCAGCAGUGAGGAAUAUUGGUCAAUGGGCGCAAGCCUGAACCAGCCAUGCCGCGUGAAGGAUGACAGCCCUACGGGUUGUAAACUUCUUUUGUAAGGGAAGAAACCUGGCUACGUGUAGUCAGUUGACGGUACCUUACGAAUAAGCAUCGGCUAACUCCGUGCCAGCAGCCGCGGUAAUACGGAGGAUGCAAGCGUUAUCCGGAUUUAUUGGGUUUAAGGGGUGCGCAGGCGGAAAAUUAAGUCAGUGGUGAAAUCCUGCAGCUUAACUGUAGAACUGUCAUUGAUACUGAUUUUCUUGAAUUCAGUUGAGGUAGGCGGAAUGUGUAAUGUAGCGGUGAAAUGCUUAGAUAUUACACAGAACACCAAUCGCGAAGGCAGCUUACUAAACUGACAUUGACGCUGAGGGCACGAAAGCGUGGGGAGCGAACAGGAUUAGAUACCCUGGUAGUCCACGCUGUANACGAUGAUCACUCGUUGUUGGCAAUACACCGUCAGCGACUGAGCGAAAGCAUUAAGUGAUCCACCUGGGGAGUACGACCGCAAGGUUGAAACUCAAAGGAAUUGACGGGGGCCCCGCACAAGCGGAGGAACAUGUGGGUUUAAUUCGAUGAUACGCGAGGAACCUUACCUCGGCCCUAAAUGCAAAACGACGGAACGGGAAACUGGUCUUUUUUCGGACGGCUUGCAA